AUGAACAAAGCCAGAGCACUUCAUGAAUACCUAUUCGGCAAAGAAGGACAGGACGAAUGCGGAGAUCUAAACGUAUAUAUUAGCUCGAAGGGACCCGAUUGGAUUACAGGAAAACAAAUAAUGGAACAGCUACGGAAAGGAGAUCAUGGACAGAUGGAGGGAUCCAUUGCAAACGCAUUGUUCGAAGAAUGGACAGUGCAGCAACAAUACAACACAACCGAUAAAGCCAUACUUCCCGCAGAAUUUGCAAACAUCGUGCUUGGUGUUAAAAUUGGAGGAAAAGGAGGACUAGCAGAAUUCAAUGAGGACGAAGCAUUGAAACAGUUUGCACCCCUUGUGACAGGGAAGGAACUUUUAAAGAAAAAGCUGAUUAUGAUACCUCACAACACAGCUAAACACUACACACUGUACGUGCUCAACAAGUACACGAGCUCCAUCGACAUACUUGACUCACUGAAUUACAGAGACGGAGACGGAAAAAAUUAA
rnacentral:rRNA from 1 species